rnacentral:rRNA from 1 species
AUUGAACGCUGGCGGCAUGCCUUACACAUGCAAGUCGAACGGCAGCACGGGAGCAAUCCUGGUGGCGAGUGGCGAACGGGUGAGUAAAGUAUCGGAACGUGCCCAGUCGUGGGGGAUAACGUAGCGAAAGUUACGCUAAUACCGCAUACGAUCUACGGAUGAAAGCGGGGGAUCGCAGGACCUCGCGCGAUUGUAGCGGCUGAUAUCAGAUUAGGUAGUUGGUGGGGUAAAGGCUCACCAAGCCGACGAUCUGUAGCUGGUCUGAGAGGACGACCAGCCACACUGGGACUGAGACACGGCCCAGACUCCUACGGGAGGCAGCAGUGGGGAAUUUUGGACAAUGGGCGCAAGCCUGAUCCAGCCAUGCCGCGUGCAGGAUGAAGGCCUUCGGGUUGUAAACUGCUUUUGUACGGAACGAAAAGGUUUGGCCUAAUAAGCUGGACCCAUGACGGUACCGUAAGAAUAAGCACCGGCUAACUACAUGCCAGCCGCCGCAGUAA